rnacentral:lncRNA from 1 species
GGAUAUGGGCUCCUAGAGUUUUUCGUACUCCUCACCCGGGGUUGGUGAGGCUUGGCAGGGCUAUCCAUUGAUGAUUUGUGUUUUGGCUUGUGUCUCCCUUAUGGUAGGUUAUAGUAGUUACUGUAUGAUAUUAGUGCAUGCUAUUUUAUUUAUGUUUCUUAUGUUUAGAUAAUUAUUUACGCUAUUUCUGCUGGAGUUACUAAUG